UGCUUUCACCCUUUAUUAGAUAUAGGAGUAAAAAUAAUUGGAGGCGUAAACUACACACUUUGCAGCCCUUUCCUGCCCUUGAAUUUGAUGUCUUUGGUGGAGGAGCUGUGUAAGUAACAGUU
rfam:Myotis brandtii contig209681, whole genome shotgun sequence.